UACGUAGGGGGCAAGCGUUGUCCGGAUUUAUUGGGCGUAAAGAGCGUGUAGGCGGCCACACAGGUCUGCUGUGAAAACUCGAGGCUCAACCUCGAGCUGUCGGUGGAAACCGUGUGGCUAGAGUCCGGAAGAGGAGAGUGGAAUUCCCGGUGUAGCGGUGAAAUGCGCAGAUAUCGGGAAGAACACCCGUGGCGAAGGCGGCUCUCUGGGACGGUACUGACGCUGAGACGGCGAAAAGCGUGGGGAGCGAACGAGG
rnacentral:rRNA from 1 species